CCUGAGAGGUGAUGCGUAGCCGAUUGAGGCGAAUUCAGUGAUCCUAUGCUGCCGAGAAAAGCCUCUAGUGAGUUGGUACACGGCCCGUACCCCAAACCGACACAGGUGGUCAGGUAGAGAAUACUGAGGCGAUCGAGAGAACUGUGGUUAAGGAACUCGGCAAAAUGCCCCCGUAACUUCGGGAGAAGGGGGACCACGCCUGGUGACCGGAUUUACUCCGUGAGCUGGGGGUGGUCGCAGAGACCAGAGAGAAGCGACUGUUUACUAAAAACACAGGUCCGUGCGAAGUCGUAAGACGAUGUAUACGGACUGACGCCUGCCCGGUGCCGGAAGGUUAAGAGGACCGGUUAGCGCUUCGGCGCGAAGCUGAGAAUUUAAGCCCCGGUAAACGGCGGUGGUAACUAUAACCAUCCUAAGGUAGCGAAAUUCCUUGUCGGGUAAGUUCCGACCUGCACGAAUGGCGUAACGACUUCUCUGCUGUCUCAACCACAGACUCGGCGAAAUUGCAUUACGAGUAAAGAUGCUCGUUACGCGCGGCAGGACGAAAAGACCCCGGGACCUUCACUAUAGCUUGGUAUUGGUGUUCGGUACGGUUUGUGUAGGAUAGGUGGGAGACUGUGAAGCAUGCACGCCAGUGUGUGUGGAGUCGUCGUUGAAAUACCACUCUGAUCGUAUUGGACCUCUAACCUCGGACCAUGAUCUGGUUCAGGGACAGUGCCUGGUGGGUAGUUUAACUGGGGCGGUUGCCUCCCAAAAUGUAACGGAGGCGCCCAAAGGUUCCCUCAGCCUGGUUGGCAAUCAGGUGUCGAGUGCAAGUGCACAAGGGAGCUUGACUGUGAGACAGACAUGUCGAGCAGGGACGAAAGUCGGGACUAGUGAUCCGGCACCGGCAUGUGGAAGCGGUGUCGCUCAACGGAUAAAAGGUACCCCGGGGAUAACAGGCUGAUCUUCCCCAAGAGUCCAUAUCGACGGGAUGGUUUGGCACCUCGAUGUCGGCUCGUCGCAUCCUGGGGCUGGAGUAGGUCCCAAGGGUUGGGCUGUUCGCCCAUUAAAGCGGCACGCGAGCUGGGUUUAGAACGUCGUGAGACAGUUCGGUCUCUAUCCGCCGCGCGCGUCAGAAACUUGAGGAAGGCUGUCCCUAGUACGAGAGGACCGGGACGGACGAACCUCUGGUGUGCCAGUUGUCCUGCCAAGGGCACUGCUGGUUGGCUACGUUCGGAAGGGAUAACCGCUGAAAGCAUCUAAGCGGGAAGCCUGUUCCAAGAUGAGGUUUCUCACCCACUCGAUGGGUUAAGGCCCCCUACAGACCAUGGGGUUGAUAGGCCAGAACUGGAAGCCCGGUAACGGGUGGAGGUGACUGGUACUAAUAGGCCGAGGACUUACCAAC
rnacentral:rRNA from 1 species